GUGCUCACUUCGGCAGCACAUAUACAUACUAAAGUUGGAAUGAUACAGAGAAGAUUAGCAUGGCCCCUUUGCAAAGAUGGCAACCAAAUUCGUGAAGCAUUCCAUAUUAAA